UACGUAGGGGGCAAGCGUUGUCCGGAAUCAUUGGGCGUAAAGAGCGUGUAGGCGGUCCGGUAAGUCGGCUGUGAAAGUCCAGGGCUCAACCUUGGAACUGCCUUUGAUACUGUUUGGCUUGAGACCGGUAGAGGUAAGUGGAACUGCGAGUGUAGAGGUGAAAUUCGUAGAUAUUCGCAAGAACACCAGUGGCGAAGGCGGCUUACUGGACCGGUUCUGACGCUGAGGCGCGAAAGCGUGGGGAGCAAACAGG
rnacentral:rRNA from 1 species